rnacentral:misc_RNA from 1 species
GAAAUGCGAUAAGUAAUGUGAAUUGCAGAAUUCAGUGAAUCAUCGAAUCUUUGAACGCACCUUGCGCUCCUUGGUAUUCCUUGGAGCAUGCCUGUUUAAGUAUCAUGAAAUCUUCAAAGUAAAUCUUUUGUUAACUCAAUUGGUUUCUACUUUGGUAUUGGAGGUCUUUGCAGCUUCACACCUGCUCCUCUUUGUUCAUUAGCUGGAUCUCAGUGUUAUGCUUGGUUCCACUCGGCGUGAUAAGUUAUCUAUCGCUGAGGACACUGUAAAAGGUGGCAAAGGUAAAUGCAGAUGAACCGCUUCUAAUAGUCCAUUGACUUGGACAAUACUUUUAUGAUCUGAUCUCAAAUCAGGUAGGACUACCCGCUGAACUUAAGC